rnacentral:rRNA from 1 species
GACGAACGCUGGCGGCGUGCUUAACACAUGCAAGUCGAACGGAAAGGCCCUGCUUUUGUGGAGUGCUCGAGUGGCGAACGGGUGAGUAACACGUGAGUAACCUGCCCUUGACUUUGGGAUAACUUCAGGAAACUGGGGCUAAUACCGGAUAGGAGCUCCUGCUGCAUGGUGGGGGUUGGAAAGUUUCGGCGGUUGGGGAUGGACUCGCGGCUUAUCAGAUUGUUGGUGGGGUAGUGGCUUACCAAGGCUUUGACGGGUAGCCGGCCUGAGAGGGUGACCGGCCACAUUGGGACUGAGAUACGGCCCAGACUCCUACGGGAGGCAGCAGUGGGGAAUAUUGCACAAUGGGCGGAAGCCUGAUGCAGCAACGCCGCGUGCGGGAUGACGGCCUUCGGGUUGUAAACCGCUUUCGCCUGUGACGAAGCGUGAGUGACGGUAAUGGGUAAAGAAGCACCGGCUAACUACGUG